rnacentral:lncRNA from 1 species
UUCCAUCGGUUGGCUGCUGUUGGGUACUAGUACUACUGCUGGGUUCAUGCCAUCGCUCGAACUCCGCUCCGCAGCGCAUACUCUUCUCUCACCACUCUCUCUCUCUCUCUCUCUCUCUCUCUCUCUCUCUCUCUCUCUCUCUCUCUCUCUCUCUCUCUCUCUCUCUGCAAGCAAAGCGCGGCCGCGGACGCCAUGGACAACCCUCAGGCUGCGGCGGCGGCCAACAACGUGGUCAAUCCUCCGGCGGCGGGGGCUGCGGUAAUGUGCUUCACAUUCACACUCUUUCUGUCAAGAUAUAUCGACGCUGCUGCUUUUUCCUUGCUCAACUGCAUGGCUUGUGGGGGGCGGGAUGCCAUCAUUGCCACUGAUCUUCUCGAGUAACCCCUCCGUCUCAAAACAAGUGUCUCAGAUUUAGCAAUACAACUUUAAUACUCCCUUCAUAAAAAAUUAUAAAAAUGUUUAGAUCACUGUAAAUUUAUAGUGAAGUUGAGACACUUGUUUCAAGACAUACUGACUUGUCGCGCUGAACUGCAGCAGGCCAAUCCUCCGGCGGUGGCGGCGGCACCAGCCAACAACGUGGCCAAUCCUCAGGCGGUGGCAGCUGCGGCAGUGUGGAUCAACGUGGCCAACCCCCCGGCGGCACCAGAUGUGGUAAUUUCCCACAGAUUUGCAGCUUUACCAGUAUCCCCGCCCCGAUGAAUUGACUUGAGAUGGAACCUGUGGUCGCAUGCUCAACUGACUGCUGCAGGGAGCUCUGCUGCUGAUAGUUGGGCUCGUCUUGUUGGCGAUGGUGUUGCUGCUUAGGCUGGUGCUGGCGUGACUCUGAGUAGUACGACCUCAUCGUGUGCGCGGCUAAGGAGUACCACUACUACUUAUUACGUAUAAAACUAUAAAUUAUAACCUGCAUAUAUAUAGAGAGUUUGUUGUUCGUACCAUCUAUGAACUUCAUUGCGAACCAAGUUUCUCUGGGCCUGGAACAGCAUUCGACAUGCUUUUCCUCGUCUGAAUGAUCGACUAAAUAAAGCGGCAAGUUUGUAACCCCUGCUUCUACUUCAGGCUUGGAGAAUAACUCAGCAUGGUUUUACAGUUUGGAUUGUCGACAAGAUAAACCGACUUGUACUCAUGUGCGCAUGAAUUGUUUCUGAAGCAAAUCUACAGCUUGGUACUAUAUAUCAACUAUGACCUAUAUUGCAUUUUAUCCACGGAUGUGUAAAUGUAGCAAAUUUUGCUGAAAAGGCCUAGUGAAUAUAUAUAACAUUUCUUUGAGCGAAUCAUAAUGCCUAAUUAGCUACAAUGAGAAAUUUUGAGAGGGCCCCUCUUACCUCCGAGAGGUAAGAGGAUAAUUUAAUCCUAGCCGCUGGUUAAUUGAGGGCAAUUUGUCUAUAUAAAUAUGGUAAAUAUAACAAAAUAAAUGCGAAACAAUUUUCGACAAAUUUCGUGGUCUCUCUAUUUUCAAGAAGAGAUUUUGCCUCUAUCAAAAAAUGCAUACUUUCAUUUAUACCAUGUAUAUGUUCGUUGAAAUAGAACAUGGCAUACAUGUUUUUUCCUUGGAGCUACAGGUGUAUAAUACAUACUCCCUCCGUCCCAAAAUUCUUGUCUUAGAUUUGUCUAGAUACGGAUGUAUCUAAUAGUACUAAAAUGUGACUUGAUACAUCCGUAUUUAGACAAAUUGAAGACAAAAAAUUUGGGAUGGAGGGAGUAUUAAAGUACAAUUUUCUUAAUCUUAGGACAUUCCUUGGUUUUAAAAUUAGAAUCAUGUGAUAUAUCAUCAUGUCAAUGCCACUUCAACAUUCAUGUGGCACACAUGGUUAGCAACUCAAACUUGAUGAUUUUUUUAAUAUUAUUUAUACUUAAGUAUGCAUAUUGAUAGGUUGCAUGCUGAUGUAUUUCCAAUGUCAAAAAUAUGGUUUCUCUAAAUUAAGAUUGAUAUAUAAUCAACAUAUUCAUGUAUUUCAAAAAUUGGGUAUGCUAUAUUCAUAUCAUAUGUACUUCUCACAAAUGUCACAUCAUUUACAUAAAUAGUACUCCCUCCGUCCCAAAAUAAGUAGUAGUAUCUUUUUUAGUUGGAACCAAGUAAAAUUUCAGAUUGGUGUGCCGAGGGUGAACGUGCAACAGCUGCUUAAUUAGUGCUCACUCAAGUCACUCAUAUAAUCUGUACUGAUAGAUAUUGACAGAAAGAUUGUGAAAUUUAUUUCUUCUUCCUGGGUUGUUGAAGCUACGAGAGCCGAACUUCUUCUGAUGCUCAUAAAAAAAAGCUGGCGAGGGACGUUCAUAAACUUUAACCCGCUGAACCUCACUAGGAUUCAGAAAAACGCACGACGACCUGAUUAUUUGUGCCAAUAGAUCAGAACUUGGGGAGUGUGAAAACACAAUUCUGAAGAAAUUAAACUGAACUAGAUUGAAUUAUUAUUUUCUGUAUAAUAAUAUAGUCAGAGGUUACAAGGCGAAUUCGAUGGCACAGUUGAAUGAUACGGGUUCCAUUCUCAGGCAGUAUAAAGAGGUACAAAUAUCACAAGAUCAAUAAGUUUACAGUUCAUAUGUCCUGAACCAGGGCAUUGGUUUCCGAUAAAUCAAUUGAAUAAGUCUAUGAUUUGUCACACCCAUUAAAUUCCGUUUCUGGGGAUUUGGGAAGAGCCUCCUGUACAAGGCUCGCUGUAAGCUACAAGAACCCGCCUAGUGUGCCUAUCUACUCUUGCACUAACAUCACAACCCCCAUUGGAGAGGGAUUUCUAAAGACCAGCAAAGCUACAGAACCUCCUGAUUCCAUCAUCCAAUGGUGAAUAUUCCUUUCUUGAUUCCAUCACUGGAUGUACUAGAAUGGUGUUUGCUUUCAUCGUCCUCCGACGGAAGCGGCACACCGAAUACCCAGUCGAGGACAUUCAGGUACUUGGACCGGAAAACCUCCCUUUCCUGGGCAUAGCAGUGCAUAAUGAUCGAGGUGGCCAUGCUGAAAACCACUACAUCAGCUCGCUUGAUCUGCAAUAUUGGAGGGCAGAGUCCGGCGUCGGUCAUGCAUGUGAAGAAACUCUCGAUGGCUCUGGCAAGGCAGUACAGGGAUAUCUCGGUUCUCCUGCUUUUCUUCUCGAUAAACAGUGCCAGACCCGCCGGGAACUGCCACAUCAAAGCAAGUUAGUAUCUCAGAGAUGGUUAACUGGACUACGCUUAGUCCAUGCGGUGCGGUAAACUGUGUGUCUUCACUUACCGUGCCAAGUACAACGAGUGGAGUACUGCACUUCUCGAAGGUUCUAAAAAGGAAGCAUGUCCAAGCCCUAAAAUAGAGAAAGAAACAGCAUGAAUUGCUGUGCCAACAAGGGAGGUUGGCGCUACAUCCACAUUCUUGAUACGACAAGUUAGGGGUUAAAAUAAAAAGAACUCACCAUGCAGAUGCGCAAUACAUUGAGAGGAACAGGCUAGAUCUUGCUGUUCCUAGAAGACUCUUGCCCAUUAUUGUGUAAGGCCUGCAUGUUGUGAGGUCUUCAGCACACUUAAUGUUGUAGACACAUGUUAGGUGUAUCCAGCUAUGCUAGAGUUGUACCCAAUAAGGAGUCGUUGUCCUAGGGGUGAAGUUAUGUUUUUGCAAAAACUGCAGAAGGCAGCAUGACAGCUCCCGUAGAAUGCAAAUAGAUAACAUACCACGAAGAGCACUCGUUUUUUCAAUCUAGAUAGGACAUAAAUUUUUACGCUUUGAUACUUACACGAAGCACAAUUACCCUGAGGACAUCAAGCCCAAUUAAUGCAGGGCCUGCAUGUUUUUUGGCAGCAAAAAAAAAGCGCUCUUCACAAAUAUGAGCAACGUAACAUGUCAGUUUGCUUGAUACAGUUGUGUACCUUUUCAUCAGAUCCUGCCGAUGAACUACAAGUGCAGGGACUAGGUAGACUGGAAUAUAGACAGGAACUGCUCUUCCAUAUGCUUGUAACAAGAACGAAAUAAAAUGUCCUGCACAUGAUUGAUUACCAUGCACAAUCUGGUUUGAAGAGAGAAGAGAUUAGAUGAAGGAAAAGGUUUAGAUUAACAGAAGGAAUAAAAACAACAAAUGGUAGGAAUUAACAAGGAAAACUUCAACAAUUAUUCACAGCAAAAUGUUAUACCUGAAUGCUUGAUAGGAUACUAUAGUAUAUUAAUGUGAUGCAAUCAUGCGACACAACAUGUUAUAAACAAAGGAAAUUUUGACAGUUAUUCACAAAUUUGUAGUACUUACUGAGCAGGGCACUUUCAUGUCUGGAUCCAACUUUAUGUCAACACCAACAGAUUUGUAGUACUUCUCAAUAGCCUCUAGGUUAGAGAAAGCAGUGUGGUUAACUACUUCCUUCAAGCCUUGCAGAAUAGACUGAUCCUUUCCACCAUGCAUCUUCAGAAAUGAUUUAUAUGAUGACGGCAAACUGUCCUGCUGUAGAAUGUAUGCAGAUCUGCGGAAUCAACAAUAUAGGCAAAACUCACUAUUCCCACAUCCUAUUGAAUGUAUACCGCAAAAUAUAUAUAACAAAAUACUCACCAAUCACUGGUGCAUGAUGCCUAUAUGUUUUAAUAAUGUAACAAAUGGUUGAAGUUAUUUCAAACAAGAUAACAUGGGAAAUGCCCUUGAAUCUACAAAUGUAUCACAUUCUUACAUUUAUAUUCCAGUCCCUGUAAUGCACUCUAUGAUUCCAUGUCUCAAAUAUUUGGACUCGCAAAGCAAUUACAGUCCAACAAACACAUUCCUUUUACACAUUUUCUCAAAACUGACCCUAUUGUUGACUUGUGACUUUUGCCUAACAUCAAAAUAUUGUCUGCUCAUUUGAAUUGAAUACGAUGCAUUCCAAUGAGACAUUAGUGAACAACAUGAAAGAUAAAGCAUUGCCUUCUAGGUUUACAUGCUAUUUUUUUAUGAUAUAAAUAAAUAGCACAUCAUCUCAAAUUUCACUGAAGAAUGACACAACUGUUACGGAUCAAAUGUAGCUGCUAUUUUUGUUAACAAAGUAGCCCUUAUGUGUCACAAACAAGGUAUCUCAAGAGGAUUUUGAAAAUUCAGAGAAGUUGUCCGUACUACUUUGUAAUGCCAUGUGCAAAUAAUAUUUCCAGAAGUUAACAUACAAUGGUUCAAAAAUCUGUUAUGUGACCCUUUUUUACAAUAAUCAGUACUUGACCUGCAUAAAUUUGAAAUGCUAUACUAGUUUCAAGCGUUGGGUGUAGCGCAAUAGGGCCAUCAGACCCAAAUAACUCCAUACACUGCAUAUCAGUGUAUAUUAACAGGGCUAAGCGAUCUCUGUACAUAAUACAGUAAUAACAUUGGCAUAUACGAAAACGCAUACGAAUUCUGUCAAUGGAACUUACAAAAUUUGUGCAGAUGAAAGGCACAUAAGGAAGACAUCACCAUGUGACCAGGUCAAAGGUUUGCAAAUCUUUCCAAAUCUUUUGCUCUUUAUUCCACAACGGGAUGCAAGCACCGCAGCACGCAUGAGAAUGUAUAUUGCCAAACUGGUAUGCUGCGUGCCUGGCCCCGUCAAGAGCAUAGAAGGACCAGCAAUUAACCCAGAUAAUAAUGACCUCCACCUUGCUGUUCUGAAGCAACAAGAGUAUUGAGUUAUAUACUAUCCCAAAACAAACUCAUACAUUAAAGAAGGACAGUGUGGAAGAUAGAAUGGGACAGAAAACAAAUUGCAUUCUGUGAUAUAACCAAAGUUUAAAUGUGUAAUGCGUUUUGUAGCGGCCAACCCCCUUCAUAACUUUGUAACGCUUAUGUCGUAUUGUAAGGCGACUUCAUAGGCACAGCCUGGGAGUCCAUUCAGUGGUUUCAUGGCAUGUGUGUAGAAACCUGACUAAAGUCACUGAAAAUUGGAAAUGUGGGAUAUUUUCUUCUUUUUUAAUUAUUGGAAAACAAAAUAAAACCAAGUUUGCGACUUUUUGUUUGCAGGAUUCAAAAGUGAAGUUUGAAAGUUCUAGGUUGCAGUAUCCCAAGGGAAGUUUCGAAGUCCAAAAUCAUCCAAGCAACAUUUUAUGUUAGAAAGGGGAAUGAAAGAAGACCUUGCUAUGGUCCUUUCGGAAGCCGUAUUGAUUCAUCAUAACGAUGAUGAUUUAAGUUCAGACAGACUCACUAUACACUAUUGAGAUUGCGCUCAGGUGGUUGUAAGGAUCUUAUUUUGGGUUAGCAAGCAACAUUAUAUCUCCAGAUCACGCAGAGUUGCAUCAUUUGGUAUUUCCUAGCGUCAAUGGAAGUCCAAGAUUAGAAUUUAGCAGUCAAAUAUUACAAAUCUGUUUUGACGAUACCUCAGAGUUGCAAAAUGUUGGUCACUGAUCAGUACCAAUCUAAUACUACCUCCGUUCGGGUUUAUUAGGUCCGCUUAUAUUUUGGGUUAAACUUUGACCAUCGAUUUGAU